rnacentral:rRNA from 1 species
CGUAUCACCCAAGACAACUUUACGGAGUUGACGAUUGACGGAGCGAAGCGACGUCAAAGCGUAUACAAAGUCGAGUUGGCUUAGGGAUACGUUCGUUGGGUAGGGGAGCGUUCUGUAAGCCUGUGAAGGUGGCCUGUGAGGGUUGCUGGAGGUAUCAGAAGUGCGAAUGCUGACAUAAGUAACGAUAAAGCGGGUGAAAAGCCCGCUCGCCGGAAGACCAAGGGUUCCUGUCCAACGUUAAUCGGGGCAGGGUGAGUCGACCCCUAAGGCGAGGCCGAAAGGCGUAGUCGAUGGGAAACGGGUUAAUAUUCCCGUACUUGGUGUUACUGCGAAGGGGGGACGGAGAAGGCUAUGUUGGCCGGGCGACGGUUGUCCCGGUUUAAGCGUGUAGGUGUGUGUUCCAGGUAAAUCCGGUUCACUUUAACACUGAGGCGUGACGACGAGGCACUACGGUGCUGAAGCAACAAAUGCCCUGCUUCCAGGAAAAGCCUCUAAGCAUCAGGUAACAUCAAAUCGUACCCCAAACCGACACAGGUGGUCAGGUAGAGAAUACCAAGGCGCUUGAGAGAACUCGGGUGAAGGAACUAGGCAAAAUGGUGCCGUAACUUCGGGAGAAGGCACGCUGACACGUAGGUGAAGUGAUUUACUCAUGGAGCUGAAGUCAGUCGAAGAUACCAGCUGGCUGCAACUGUUUAUUAAAAACACAGCACUGUGCAAACACGAAAGUGGACGUAUACGGUGUGACGCCUGCCCGGUGCCGGAAGGUUAAUUGAUGGGGUCAGCGCAAGCGAAGCUCCUGAUCGAAGCCCCGGUAAACGGCGGCCGUAACUAUAACGGUCCUAAGGUAGCGAAAUUCCUUGUCGGGUAAGUUCCGACCUGCACGAAUGGCGUAAUGAUGGCCAGGCUGUCUCCACCCGAGACUCAGUGAAAUUGAACUCGCUGUGAAGAUGCAGUGUACCCGCGGCAAGACGGAAAGACCCCGUGAACCUUUACUAUAGCUUGACACUGAACAUUGAGCCUUGAUGUGUAGGAUAGGUGGGAGGCUUUGAAGCGUGGACGCCAGUCUGCGUGGAGCCGACCUUGAAAUACCACCCUUUAAUGUUUGAUGUUCUAACGUGGACCCGUAAUCCGGGUUGCGGACAGUGUCUGGUGGGUAGUUUGACUGGGGCGGUCUCCUCCUAAAGAGUAACGGAGGAGCACGAAGGUUGGCUAAUCCUGGUCGGACAUCAGGAGGUUAGUGCAAUGGCAUAAGCCAGCUUGACUGCGAGCGUGACGGCGCGAGCAGGUGCGAAAGCAGGUCAUAGUGAUCCGGUGGUUCUGAAUGGAAGGGCCAUCGCUCAACGGAUAAAAGGUACUCCGGGGAUAACAGGCUGAUACCGCCCAAGAGUUCAUAUCGACGGCGGUGUUUGGCACCUCGAUGUCGGCUCAUCACAUCCUGGGGCUGAAGUAGGUCCCAAGGGUAUGGCUGUUCGCCAUUUAAAGUGGUACGCGAGCUGGGUUUAGAACGUCGUGAGACAGUUCGGUCCCUAUCUGCCGUGGGCGCUGGAGAACUGAGGGGGGCUGCUCCUAGUACGAGAGGACCGGAGUGGACGCAUCACUGGUGUUCGGGUUGUCAUGCCAAUGGCACUGCCCGGUAGCUAAAUGCGGAAGAGA